CGUUUCUUGAAUUUAUAUGAAAUAGGAUCUGCCCACUGAAAUAUUGAAGGGCCGCAGUAAUUUGACUGUGCAAAGGUAGCAUAAUCAUUAGUUUUUUAAUUGGAAGCUUGUAUGAAUGAUUUGACGAGAUAUAAUCUGUCUUUAUUUUAAUAAGUUGAAUUUAAUUUUUUAAUCAAAAAGUUUAAAUGUUUAUAUGGGACGAGAAGACCCUAUAGAAUUUUAUUAUUAAUUUUAUAUUAAUUAUUAGUAAUUUUUUUUUGUUUUUAUAAUUUGUUUGGGGUAAUUGUAGGAUAUGUCUAAUUCCUUUAAUUUUUCUUAAAAAUUUUUAUUUUUUUGAUCCAUGUGUUUGAUAUUAAGAUUAAAUUACC
rnacentral:rRNA from 1 species